rnacentral:rRNA from 1 species
AUGUUUCUGCGGGGCUGCGGGCUAGGUGCUUGUGAUACUGCCAACUUAUGCAACAUUCAACCAGGUCUACUCACCACCAAUCUAGAGCGCUUCCAAGGACCGGUGGCAUGUGCCGAGAAGAUAGGUGUGCCCCGUGGUUCUGGGAUGUUCAGGCAUGCGUUGAGUGCUGUCGCAUUCCGCGGCGGGGAGAAGAUCACAGCCAGAGUGGAGCACUUGAAGAGCACGUUCACGUGGUCGGAUGCUGAGCUGAGAAUUGUUGUUUCUAGGGGGCCAUUGAUGCUGACGAGGUCCAAAGAAUCACAUCAGCGUAGGUCUGAGUUCCUCGUCUCUGGGGUGGGCUUGGAACCAUCUUACAUUGCUCAUCGACCCGUAAUGCUCGGUCUCAGUUUAGAGGGCCAACUCAAGCCUUGGUACUAUGCUGUAAAGUUUCUCAAGGAAAAUGGAUUGCUCAAGCGCGACCGAGACUUCUUUAGCACAAUAGUGGUCAGCGAGAAGGUAUUCAUGGAAAGGUUCAUAUGCCCUCACAAGAAAACUGCACCGCAUCUCGCUGAAGACUAUGCAACCGCUUGCAGAGGGGAAGUGUCUGCCAGAUUCAGUUUUACAUGA